GGCAGCAUGGCGCAGCUGAUGCAGCCAUGCCGCGUGUGUGAUGAAGGCCUUCGGGUUGUAAAGCUCUUUCAGUAGGGAGGAAGGUGCUUGUGUUAAUAGCGUAAGCACUUGACGUUACCUACAGAAGAAGCACCGGCUAACUCCGUGCCAGCAGCCGCGAUAAU
rnacentral:rRNA from 1 species